rnacentral:rRNA from 1 species
UUGAACGCUGGCGGCAUGCCUAGCACAUGCAAGUCGAACGGUAACGCGGAGAGCUUGCUCUCUGGCGACGAGUGGCGGACGGGUGAGUAAUACUUAGGAAUCUACCCAGUAGUGGGGGACAACAUUCGGAAACGGAUGCUAAUACCGCAUACGCACUACGGUGGAAAGUGGGGGACCUUCGGGCCUCACGCUAUUGGAUGAGCCUAAGUCGGAUUAGCUUGUUGGUGAGGUAAUAGCUCACCAAGGCGACGAUCCGUAGCUGGUCUGAGAGGACGAUCAGCCACACUGGGACUGAGACACGGCCCAGACUCCUACGGGAGGCAGCAGUGGGGAAUAUUGGACAAUGGGCGCAAGCCUGAUCCAGCAAUGCCGCGUGUGUGAAGAAGGCCUGCGGGUUGUAAAGCACUUUCAGUAGAGAAGAAAAGCCUAGGGUUAAUACCCCUGAGUCUUGACGUAACCUACAGAAGAAGCACCGGCUAACUCCGUG